GGGGCCGUAGCUCAGUUGGGAGAGCGCGUCGUUCGCAAUGACGAGGUCGUCGGUUCGAUCCCGAUCGGCUCCACCA
rnacentral:tRNA from 56 species